UGAAAAGAACUGAGGUGAUCAGAGUGAAAUAGAACCUGAAACCAUUUGCUUACAAUCAUUCAGAGCCCUAUGUAGCAAUACAGGGUGAUGGACUGCCUUUUGCAUAAUGAGCCUGCGAGUUGUGGUGUCUGGCAAGGUUAAGCAAACGCGAAGCCGUAGCGAAAGCGAGUCUGAAUAGGGCGCUUAGUCAGAUGCUGCAGACCCGAAACGAAGUGAUCUAUCCAUGAGCAAGUUGAAGCUAGUGUAAGAACUAGUGGAGGACUGAACCCAUAGGCGUUGAAAAGCCCCGGGAUGACUUGUGGAUAGGGGUGAAAGGCCAAUCAAACUUCGUGAUAGCUGGUUCUCUCCGAAAUAUAUUUAGGUAUAGCGUUGUGUCGUAAUAUAAGGGGGUAGAGCACUGAAUGGGCUAGGGCAUACACCAAUGUACCAAACCCUAUCAAACUCCGAAUACCUUAUAUGUAAUCACAGCAGUCAGGCGGCGAGUGAUAAAAUCCGUCGUCAAGAGGGAAACAACCCAGACUACCAGCUAAGGUCCCUAAAUCUUACUUAAGUGGAAAACGAUGUGAAGUUACUUAAACAACCAGGAGGUUGGCUUAGAAGCAGCCAUCCUUUAAAGAAAGCGUAAUAGCUCACUGGUCUAGUGAUUUUGCGCGGAAAAUAUAACGGGGCUAAAGUAAGUACCGAAGCUGUAGACUUGCACACAACUUAGAUUAUUUAAGUUUAGAAUAUAAAAAACUAAGUUAUAUGUUUUAAGUUAUAUUUUUACUGAUUUUUAUAGGGUAAAGAUAGAAAUAAAACUUAGUAAAAUCAGUAAAAAUAUUCUUAGGCUAAAGUUAAGUAGUUUAAGUUGUGUGCAAGUGGUAGGAGAGCGUUCUAUUUGCGUCGAAGGUAUACCGGUAAGGAGUGCU
rnacentral:rRNA from 1 species